rnacentral:rRNA from 1 species
GUGGGGAAUAUUGGACAAUGGGCGAAAGCCUGAUCCAGCCAUGCCGCGUGUGUGAAGAAGGUCUUCGGAUUGUAAAGCACUUUAAGUUGGGAGGAAGGGCAGUAAGUUAAUACCUUGCUGUUUUGACGUUACCGACAGAAUAAGCACCGGCUAACUUCGUGCCAGCAGCCGCGGUAAUACGAAGGGUGCAAGCGUUAAUCGGAAUUACUGGGCGUAAAGCGCGCGUAGGUGGUUUUGUAAGUUGGAGGUGAAAUCCCCGGGCUCAACCAGGGAACUGCCUCCAAAACUGCAUGACUAGAGUACGGUAGAGGGUAGUGGAAUUUCCUGUGUAGCGGUGAAAUGCGUAGAUAUAGGAAGGAACACCAGUGGCGAAGGCGACUACCUGGACUGAUACUGACACUGAGGUGCGAAAGCGUGGGGAGCAAACAGGAUUAGAUACCCUAGAGUCC